rnacentral:rRNA from 1 species
UGGGGAAUUUUCCGCAAUGGGCGAAAGCCUGACGGAGCAAUACCGCGUGAGGGAAGAAUGCCUAUGGGUUGUAAACCUCUUUUUUCAGGGAGGAAUAAAAUGACGUGUACCUGAAGAAUAAGCACCGGCUAACUCCGUGCCAGCAGCUGCGGUAAGACGGAGGGUGCAAGUGUUAUCCGGAAUUACUGGGCGUAAAGCGUCUGUAGGUGGUUUAGUAAGUCAACUGUUAAAUCUUGAGGCUCAACUUCAAAUCAGCAGUCGAAACUAUUAGACUAGAGUAUAGUAGGGGUAAAGGGAAUUUCCAGUGGAGCGGUGAAAUGCGUAGAUAUUGGAAAGAACACCGAUGGCGAAGGCACUUUACUGGGCUAUUACUAACACUCAGAGACGAAAGCUAGGGUAGCAAAUGGGAUUAGAUACCCCAGUAGUCCUAGCUGUAAACAAUGGAUACUAGAUGUUGAACAGAUCGACCUGUGCAGUAUCAAAGCUAACGCGUUAAGUAUCCCGCCUGGGAAGUAUGCUCGCAAGAGUG